rnacentral:rRNA from 1 species
AGCCGCCGCGGUAACACCGGCGGCCCGAGUGGUGAUCGUGAUAUGGGUCUAAAGGGUCCGUAGCCGGUUGGUCAGUACCUCCGGGAAAUCUGAUAGCUCAACUAUUAGGACUUCGGGGGAUACUGCCAGACUUGGAACCGGGAGAGGUAAGAGGUACUACAGGGGUAGGAGUGAAAUCUUGUAAUCCCUGUGGGACCACCUGUGGCGAAGGCGUCUUACCAGAACGGGUUCGACGGUGAGGGACGAAAGCUGGGGGCACGAACCGGAUUAGAUACCCGGGUAGUCCCAGCCGUAAACGAUGCUCGCUAGGUGUCAGGCAUGGCGCGACCGUGUCUGGUGCCGCAGGGAAGCCGUGAAGCGAGCCACCUGGGAAGUACGGCCGCAAGGCUGAAACUUAAAGGAAUUGGCGGGGGAGCACAACAACGGGUGGAGCCCUGCGGUUUAAUUGGACUCAACGCCGGACAACUCACCGGGGGCGACAGCAAUAUGUAGGCCAAGCUGAAGACUUUGCCUGAAUCGCUGAGGAGUGGUGCAUGG